AUGCUGCCCCCUUGGACCCUCGGCCUUCUCCUGCUGGCCACAGUCAGAGGAAAAGAGGUCUGCUACGGACAACUUGGCUGCUUUUCUGAUGAAAAACCAUGGGCAGGAACCCUUCAGCGACCUGUAAAAUUACUUCCCUGGUCCCCCGAGGACAUUGACACCCGCUUUCUUCUGUACACAAAUGAAAAUCCAAACAACUUCCAAGAUGAACCUGAGGAGGUUCGGUUGGAUCCAUCCGACGCUGUGUUUGUGGAUGUGAUUCACACAGAUUCUUCUCCCAUAGUUCCUUCCCUAGGUUUCGGAAUGAGCCAAAAGGUGGGCCAUCUGGAUUUUUUUCCAAAUGGAGGAAAGGAAAUGCCCGGAUGUAAGAAAAAUGUCCUUUCAACCAUUAUUGAUAUUGAUGGAAUAUGGGAAGGAAUUAGUGGCUUUGUGGCUUGCAAUCACCUAAGAAGCUUCGAGUAUUACUCAAGCAGCAUCGUCAACCCUGAUGGCUUCCUGGGCUAUCCCUGUGCCUCCUACGAUGAGUUUCAGGAGAGUAAGUGUUUCCCUUGUCCAGCUGAAGGAUGCCCCAAAAUGGGGCACUAUGCUGACCAAUUUAAGGGGAAAACCAGUGCUGUGGAAC
rnacentral:sRNA from 1 species